CAACAUUGGUGCACAGAGAGUUAAAAAUGCUUGCAUUGCUUUUUGCAACUUCUUUGAGGAGCAGAACAUUGCAACGUGCUUGAGAUGUCUUCAACAAGUGAAACAAGAGUAUUACCUUGUGCAUUUUAGAUACUUUUUUAGUAUGGCAUACAAUAACACGUUUAGCUUUAUAUUAUAUUUGUUUGACAUUCUGAGAUAUUAUGUGUUUAUGACAAUUUUUAAUUGCAUGAACUUAAUUUUG